rnacentral:rRNA from 1 species
UUGGAGGGCAAGUCUGGUGCCAGCAGCCGCGGUAAUUCCAGCUCCAAUAGCGUAUAUUAAAGUUGCUGCAGUUAAAAAGCUCCUAGUUGAAUUUCGGGACCAUCAUGUCGGUCGUGCCUCGGUACGUACUGGCAUUGUUGGUUUCUCCCUUCUGACGAACCAUGAUGUCAUUUAUUUGGUGUUGUGGGGAAUCAGGACUGUUACUUUGAAAAAAUUAGAGUGUUUAAAGCAGGCUCACGCUUGAAUACAUUAGCAUGGAAUAAUGAAAUAGGACGUUUGAUUCUAUUUUGUUGGUUUCUAGGAUCGACGUAAUGAUUAAUAGGGAUAGUUGGGGGCAUUAGUAUUCAAUUGUCAGAGGUGAAAUUCUUGGAUUUAUUGAAGACUAACUACUGCGAAAGCAUUUGCCAAGGAUGUUUUCAUUAAUCAAGAACGAAAGUUAGGGGAUCGAAGACGAUCAGAUACCGUCGUAGUCUUAACCAUAAACUAUGCCGACUAGGGAUCGGAUGAUGUUAAUUUUUUAAUGACUCAUUCGGCGCCUUACGGGAAACCAAAGUGUUUGGGUUC